CAUGCAACAACUAAAUGUGCUGUCAGAGAUUAAAUUAAAAUCAUGUUUCUGUGAUGCCAAGUGGCCACAAAUUAUUAGGGUUGUAAACAGUGCAACAAUGUUUUGGAUUUCAGUGAAAAAAACAAGAAAACAGAGUAGCCAUUGAACCAACUUUUAGUGGGCAGCACAUUGCAUGCUUUAGUUUAGCCCCUCUCCUUUGCCACAUGCCAGCAAGACUGAGCAAAGCUGUCAAACAGCUGAUCAACACACUCAGAGCUUCUGUAUUUGCUACAGAAGAUAAUCAUUUAAUUCAGUGAGACCUUCUCAUCUGGGUCUCCCAUGUCACAAAACUUGAGAUGAGGAUCCUAUCUGUCUUACUGCUUUACGAAGACAAGUUCAUAACUAUGCUAAUGAACAGGGCAAGAAGGUACAUCUAUAUGGGAAAUAUUCAAUCUUUUUUCAGUUAUAAGCUCUCAACAAAAUGACCAGAACUAGCAGAAUUAGCUACAGAGUAUGUUCAUCUAAUCUCUUAAGGUUGCCUAUGACACAGUGAUAUCCUCACCCUGUGGCAGAGGGCAAAAAAAGCUUCAUGCUUUUCUUAGUCUUCAACAACAUGCACAUAGGAAGGAGAAAGUCUGUCAGGUCUCUCAGCCGUUCCUGCAUUUUAAAUUUUAUCACGUACUUCUGUAGCAUAUGGGCAUAACUAAUUACAUUCUCUGAGCAGAUGUGAAAAACAUGGAUUGAUAUGCCAAGGCUGGGAAAUGUCCAAUGAGGAGACGACUGGUGCACCCAUGACAGAUUUUGUAAUUGGCAUAGUACUUCAUGGACUCCUAUUUAGUGCUUUUGGCCACUUCGCUAUGUUUUGGCUGCUGGUCACUGUUGCAGAGAAGAGGAGAGACCACCGCAAAAGAGACAGGCAUGACACACAGUGUUUAUCUAUAAGUGAGGAAGAUGUUUUCAUAUGACUUUUAUAGUUACUGCUAGUGACUAAUUGGAUUUCCAGCCCAGCAUCUGAGGAUCAGCAGCUCUAAUUUUCUGGCUGCCUGGUUCUUAAUCAGAGCAGCAUCUCAACAUCAAGGACUCUGCAGCCUAUGGCACUUUUUAGGGGAAUGUGCUUCACUGAAACCUGAG
ensembl:lncRNA